rnacentral:rRNA from 1 species
AAUAGAUACCCGGGUAGUCCACGCCGUAAACGGUGGGCACUAGGUGUGGGCAACAUUCCACGUUGUCCGUGCCGCAGCUAACGCAUUAAGUGCCCCGCCUGGGGAGUACGGCCGCAAGGCUAAAACUCAAAGGAAUUGACGGGGGGCCCGCACAAGCGGCGGAGCAUGUGGCUUAAUUCGACGCAACGCGAAGAACCUUACCAAGGCUUGACAUACACCGGAAAGCAUCAGAGAUGGUGCCCCCCUUGUGGUCGGUGUACAGGUGGUGCAUGGCUGUCGUCAGCUCGUGUCGUGAGAUGUUGGGUUAAGUCCCGCAACGAGCGCAACCCUUGUCCCGUGUUGCCAGCAGGCCCUUGUGGUGCUGGGGACUCACGGGAGACCGCCGGGGUCAACUCGGAGGAAGGUGGGGACGACGUCAAGUCAUCAUGCCCCUUAUGUCUUGGGCUGCACACGUGCUACAAUGGCCGGUACAAUGAGCUGCGAUACCGUGAGGUGGAGCGAAUCUCAAAAAGCCGGUCUCAGUUCGGAUUGGGGU